AUACUUACCUUGAGAUGCUAUAGGAGAUCAAGAAGUCUUAUAGCCAGUUUCUUUUGUUUGCAUUGCACAGCGCUGCAAGGGAGACUGCCAACUUUUCGCUAGGCGUGAAGUGUGGGUCUUUUAAUUUUUGAUUUCGUCUUCAAUUAUAAUAAUAAUAAUAAUUCAUUGAAUAUUAU